rnacentral:rRNA from 1 species
AACCAGAAAGUCACGGCUAACUACGUGCCAGCAGCCGCGGUAAUACGUAGGUGGCAAGCGUUGUCCGGAUUUAUUGGGCGUAAAGCGAGCGCAGGCGGAAGAAUAAGUCUGAUGUGAAAGCCCUCGGCUUAACCGAGGAACUGCAUCGGAAACUGUUUUUCUUGAGUGCAGAAGAGGACAGUGGAACUCCAUGUGUAGCGGUGGAAUGCGUAGAUAUAUGGAAGAACACCAGUGGCGAAGGCGGCUGUCUGGUCUGCAACUGACGCUGAGGCUCGAAAGCAUGGGUAGCGAACAGGAUUAGAUACCCUGGUAGUCCAUGCCGUAAACGAUGAGUGCUAAGUGUUGGAAGGUUUCCGCCUCUCAGUGCUGCAGCUAACGCAUUAAGCACUCCGCCUGGGGAGUACGACCGCAAGGUUGAAACUCAAAGGAAUUGACGGGGGCCCGCACAAGCGGUGGAGCAUGUGGUUUAAUUCGAAGCUACGCGAAGAACCUUACCAGGUCUUGACAUCUAGUGCCAUUUGUAGAGAUACAAAGU